rnacentral:lncRNA from 1 species
GCCUGACGUGGGACUCGAUCUGGGAUCACAACCUCAGCCAAAGGUAGAUGUUCAACCACUGAGCCACUCAGGCAUCCCUAAUUCUCACCAAAAAUUAACAGCAUUUGGCACUUAUCCCGAUUUCAUCUUGGUCUCAACUGUCUCAUCAGUAGAAUAUCACUCUCAAUUUUCUAUUCCCCAUAGAUAUUUAUAAAGAGUAAUCAAAUUGUCAAAUAAUGGCAACACAAAAAAACUGCUGGUACCAAGAUAUCUAAAAAACUCUUAAAAGGAGGCAGAAUAAAGUGGGAGAACUGUAAUGGGUGAUGAAGCUAUAGUAAUUAAGACAAUGAUUACAGUAUUACUGCAGAGAUGAACUGACCAAUGGAACAGAAUACAAAAGCAAGAAGCAAUGCCAUUUUCCAUUUUUUAAGUUGGCAAACAAUUGCAACAGUGUGACAAUAUAAACAUGAUGAGAAUGUGGAGUGGGGUGGAACUCUUCUCACUGCUAGUGCUGCUGGGGUAUAAUCAGGUACUCCAGCCUUAGAAGACUUAGAUAGUAGCAGAAAAAUUUAAGAUGCCAGUGUCCUCUGAGUCUGCGGUUCUAACUAGGUAUAUGCCCUAGGGCAUUGUCUUCAUAGCUGCAAUUAAAUGUAAAAUGUGGAGUGUGGGAAAUGAUAUUUUUUCAAGCUCCUGGCAUGAUUCUAAUUUGCAGUCAGGUUUGAGAGCAGUGCCUUAGAGAAAAUGAGGCGACCAUGACCACUGAACAUGUACAAGAAUGUUUAUAGAGACGUUAAUAUCAGCAAAAGCUGGAAUUCCACAUGUCCCCAUAGAAGCAUGGAUAAUCAAAAUGUACUAUACUCACAUAGCAGUAAAAAGUAGAAAACAGGGGGAUCCCUGGAUGGCUCAGCAAUUUAGUGCCUGCCUUCGGCCCAGGGUGUGGUCCUGGGGUCCCGGGAUCGAGUCCCACAUCAGGCUCCCAGCAUGGAGCCUGCUUCUCUCUUUGCCCGUGUCUCUGCGUCUCUCUCUCUCUCUCUCUCUCUCUGUGUGUGUGUGUGUGUGUCUCAUGAAUAAAUAAAUAAAAUCUUUUAAAAAAAGUAGAAAACAGUCCAUAGGCUCUUUAGGUGAAUCUUAGAAGCAAGGAUGAGCUUUAAAAAAUUUCAGAAGAUUAGGUACCAUUAUAAAGCUCAGAAACAAGCAAACUUAAACAUUAUUUUGCUUAGGCGUAUAUCAUAUAUGAUUUAAAAAUGCAAGAGAUGUAGCCCAACAUUUAAAGUAGUGGGGAGGCUGUGGGAUAUUGUUGGAGGAACCACACACAAGUCAUUUCAAUGCUAUUAAUAAUUUUCUAGUUAAGUUGGGUGAUGGCUUCACAGAUAUGUAUUAUUUUGCUUCCUAAUUUACUUAUGCUUCUGUGUGCAUGAAAUACACCAUAUAAAUAUAUUGAGAGGCCUUUUAAAAAUUUUAUUACUUUACUGAAUAUCCUUCCAGUGCUUUUAUGCAAAUAAAUACAAAUAUAAAUGUGUAUUCUUAUUUUCCCCCCUUAUACAAAAAUAGCAUGUAAAUUGUUCUAAAUCUUACUUUCCCACUUGAUCAUAUAUGCUGGAGAUCUUCCAAUAUCACUGUACUUUUUCUAAAAAAAAUUAUUGCUUUAUAAUUAACACACGGUUUUGUUAGUUUCAGAUGUACAAUAUAAUUAUUCAACAAUACUAUACAUUAUUCAGUGUACUCUGAAUCUGUUUUAUCUCAGCCCCCACUUCCCCCUCACUCCACUUAAAGGCCUUUUUAAUUACCCUAGCUCUUCAGAGUGACUUUUCCUUCUGUCCAGGUAAUUAGAAUGUUCCACACAUAUCUAGAACAUUAAACCCUCGAAUUUUUUUUGUGGUUCCCUUUGCCUAGAAAGCACAAAUUGUCCUUGUGACUUGCAUUUGCUGUUGCUGAUGUCAUUUGUAACAAUCAGCGUAUAUGUUAAUUUCUGCUUAGUUAAUUAACACUGGCAGUUACCAGUUACACUUUCUACUGUCCAUAAUCUUCUAGGGAAAAAGGGCUUCAAAUGUGUCUGAAUAUCUUCUAGAUGCCAGACAUUACCCAAUAUUUCCAUUUAGUUCCUUUAAUCAUUAAAGCUAAUCCUUAUAAAAAUGUUUUGAAUGUAAUAUGAAUAACCCCUGGGCACAGAGAUUAAAAGUGUUAGUUCUGAAGCCAGACUUCUUGGGUUCAAAUCCCAGCUCCAUCAUUAAUUAGCAUUGUUAUACUUCCAAUUCUUCAUCUAUAAUGUGGAGGUAAUAAAAGACACUUAUUCAUAAAGAUAUCCUAUAGUUAAAGAAGUUCAUAAAUUUAGAACACUUAAAAAAGACUGGCUCCAAAUACACUCUGAAUUCAUGUGACUAUUAUUUUGUUCAUUUUCCUAAAAUAAAGCUUUUAAAGAGGAUUCCCCACCCCAUGAAUCCAUUAAUAAUAUUUUUUAUAAGAAUUGCUAUUUGAGAACAUAAGUACUUGUAUAUCUUUCCAAUUCUUCUUUAUGUUGUCACUUCUUUUUCAAUUAUUAUCUUCCUAAUUCCCAGAAGGAUUUAAUUGGGGAAUGACAAUCUCAUUGUCAAGAUAUUAAGGUCACCUUAAUAUCUUCCUAUGCCAACUACUUUACAAAUAUUAAUUUAAUUCUAACCACAAUUGUCUAAGAAAGGCAUUAUCUUUUCCAUUUUACCAAUGAAGAGAUUGAAGCAAGAGAUGCCAAGUGUCUUGGUUCAUAUUAAACAGCUGGUUUCAGAGCAGAAUCAGCACAUAGGUUUUUCUGAUUACAGACCUUAAUCACCACACCAUGCUGACAAGUGUUUUCAGAAGAUAAUAGUAGUGCAAGUGUGGAGUUUGGACUAAGGAAAUGAGACUGGAAGCAGGAAAUAUUGGAAUU